rfam:Cylindrobasidium torrendii FP15055 ss-10 unplaced genomic scaffold CYLTOscaffold_246, whole genome shotgun sequence.
GCCGGCGUAGCGCAAUGGUAGCGCGUCGCUUUCCUACACAGUUAGGCGAAGGUUGCGAGUUCGAUCCUCGUCGUCGGUA